UCUUAUUUACGUAAUGUGUAUUUCUUUUUCCUUUUUUUUUUGUGGUAAAAAUCAACUCAUUUUCAGUUUGUUGUGUGUUUGUAGUCUCUACUUGUAUUUUCUACUUAUGAAUGUUAAAAUGUUGUAUUUGCAGUUGUAAUUUUGUGCACUAAGGUAUAUAUUUGAUUUUUUUAAAGGCUUUUUUGCCAAAAUUUCUUAGGCCAUGUAUGCCUAUGAAUGGAU
rnacentral:lncRNA from 1 species